rnacentral:rRNA from 1 species
CAGUAGCCACGGUAAUACGUAGGUGGCAAGCGUUGUCCGGAAUUAUUGGGCGUAAAGGGCUCGCAGGCGGCUUCUUAAGUCUGAUGUGAAAGCCCCCGGCUCAACCGGGGAGGGUCAUUGGAAACUGGGAAACUUGAGCGCAGAAGAGGAGAGUGGAAUUCCACGUGUAGCGGUGAAAUGCGUAGAGAUGUGGAGGAACACCAGUGGCGAAGGCGACUCUCUGGUCUGUAACUGGCGCUAAGGAGCGAAAGCGUGGGGAGCGAACAGGAUUAGAUACCCGUGUAGUCCCUGUCUCUUAUAC